rnacentral:rRNA from 1 species
GACGAACGCUGGCGGCGUGCUUAACACAUGCAAGUCGAACGGAAAGGCCCUGCUUUUGUGGGGUGCUCGAGUGGCGAACGGGUGAGUAACACGUGAGUAACCUGCCCUUGACUUUGGGAUAACUUCAGGAAACUGGGGCUAAUACCGGAUAGGAGCUCCUGCUGCAUGGUGGGGAUUGGAAAGUUUCGGCGGUUGGGGAUGGACUCGCGGCUUAUCAGCUUGUUGGUGGGGUAGUGGCUUACCAAGGCUUUGACGGGUCGCCGGCCUGAGAGGGUGACCGGCCACAUUGGGACUGAGAUACGGCCCAGACUCCUACGGGAGGCAGCAGUGGGGAAUAUUGCACAAUGGGCGGAAGCCUGAUGCAGCAACGCCGCGUGCGGGAUGACGGCCUUCGGGUUGUAAACCGCUUUCGCCUGUGACGAAGCGUGAGUGACGGUAAUGGGUAAAGAAGCACCGGCUAACUACGUG